rnacentral:ncRNA from 1 species
GUGUUCGUAGAAAGGAGAGACGGUUGGCAUCUCCCCUGACAGGGACGGGAACCGAGCAUUCGUGCUCUACCUGUUGACACACACGGUUAAGGCUACCCGCUCCGGCGGAUCUUUACCAAAUUUUUUU